rnacentral:lncRNA from 1 species
GAGGCGGGGUCUGGACGCCAGGGCGAUGCCGCUGUGCCCGGGAAGCUCAGUAGCAGACAGCCCUCCAGCCUCCUCGGAACCCGCAUGGCGCAGAUAAAAGCCCCGCGCGGUGGGGGGAGGCGCGUGGCAUGUCCCGGUGUCUGCGGCUCUGAGCUUCCCGCAGUUACAAACGGCUGUGGGACGGUGUGGGGAGGGCUAGCGGUGCAGUCCCAGCCCAGGGGAGGUGGUGGAACCCGGCUGGCCAGGCCGAGCCAAAGCCCCCCGCUCCUCCCCAGAGUGGGAUGCUGCAGCAGGGAAAUACCUGUUCCUACAAAUCCUGCAAUCCACAACCACCUCCUUCACUUCAGCAGGAAGUUUCUCAGCUCACGGUGCCAGUUCUUACGUCGAAACAGUCCCGUGUCUACACUGGAGGGUGGAAGAAUUCCCCUUUUCUGACGUGGUUUUCCCUUCUCUCUGAGUACAAUGAUACCUGUACCAGCACAGCAGCAGAAUAUUGUAUAAUUUUUAAAAAGAAAGGCCCCUGACGACGAAAAUUGUGACAAUAAAGAACCAUCCUUGAAAAUGAACUGUGUAAAUGCUUCCUCAAGUAACAUUGUCUUGCAGUCAACACAGAAAAACAGACUGGAUAAUGAUCCUUGUGCCAGUACAGUAACUCCUCGCUUAACGUUGUAGUUAUGUUCCUGAAAAAUGCGACUUUAAGCGAAACGAUGUUAAGCGAAUCCAAUUUCCCCAUAAGAAUUAAUGUAAAUGGGGGGUGGGUUAGGUUCCAGGGAAAUUUUUUUCACCAGACAAAAAACUAUAUAUUAUAUAGAUAUACACACAGUAUACGUUUUAAACAAACAAUUUAAUACUAUUCACAGCUAUGAUGAUUGUGAAGCUUGGUUGAGGUGGUGAAGUUAGAGGGUAGAAGAGGGAGGGAUAUUUCUAGGGAAUGCCUUGCUGCGAAAUGAUGAACUAGCACUCGGCUGAGCCCUCAAGGGUUAACACAUUGUUGUUACUGUAGCCUCUCAUCAAGGCAGCAUGAACAGGAGGGAGGGGAGACAGCAUAGCAGACAGAGACAGACACACACCUUGUGUGUGGGGGAGAAAGAUGCACACUGCUACUUUAAGUAAGCUGACCCACUCUUAAGUGCAUUGUCUUUUUAAGUGGAUCAGGAAGUUGAGACAGCAGCUGCUGCCCCAAGCUCUCUCUGUCUCUCUCCGUCCGUGUCCCCUCCCUGCUCUAUAUGGAGAAGGGGUAAGCGGGGUGCAGGAGCAGGGGGGAGGGGGACACCCUGACAUUAGCUCCCUCCCUUCCCCCCGCCUUCCCCCCACAGCAAGCAGGAGUCUCUGGGAGCAGCUCCAAGGCAGAGGGCAGGAGCAGCACAUGGCAGUGGGGGAAGGGACAGCUGAACUGCCGAUUUAUAGCCUGCUGGGCAGCUGCAGCACAGGGAACUUAGGGGAGCGGGGAGCUGAUAAGGGGGCUGCCGGUCCACCCUGGUUACAAGCCUCCACCAGCUAGCUGCAACAAGCUGCUCUUCCUGCAAGCAGCUGCCAAACGAUGUUAGAAGGGAGCAUUGCACAACUUUGAACGAGCAUGUUCUCUAAUUGAUCAGCAAUGUAACAACGAAACAACGUUAACCGGGACGACUUUAAGUGAGGAGUUACUCUAUAUCAGUGGCCACCAAUUACACAUCUAAGGAUGUCCUAUGUGCUCUGACAUCACCAGUGGGGGCAGAAUGUUUUGUUAAACAGAGUUUACCUUAGGGUGACCAGAUGUCCCGAUUUUUAUAGAGACAGUCCUGAUUUUUGGGUCUUUUUCUUAUAUAGGCUCCUAUUACUCCCCACCCCCUGUCCCGAUUUUUCACAUUUGCUGUCUGGUCACUCUAGUUUACCUGUUCAUGACAGGAAAAACAACCUUUCUACGGCCAUAGAUAUCUUGCUGCACAAAGAGGAACAACCAGUACAGCCUAAGAUGGAUACCCUUCUACAAAUGGUUGACGUUUCAACUGUGGUUGGUUUUCUUUGUACCCCUCCAUUGUAGAGGAGUCUGUUUUUUGCUUUCCAUGCCGUCACUUUGCUUCUCAAACCACAAUUGGACCAGGAGAACAAUUCAACAACAGAAGAUUCAUUGAGUGUGGCUUUAAGAAACGGAAAGAUUUUCAUAGUUUGUUAAAACAACAUUCACUCAGUUCCAGGCAUCAAGCAGCUUUCAUUUCGUGGUAAAACUACUUGACAAUUAGGAUCAGCAGUUUGAAAAGUGUCGCAGAUCAAUUUGUUUCCAGUCAUCAGGCUGUCAUAGCUGAAAAUUGCCAGCAUAUUGAAACACUCUUACAGGUCUCCAUGCUCUGUGCAAAACAGGGUAUUGCUUUUUGGGGGCAUGAUGAAACACACAACUCUAGCAAUAAAGAAAAUUUCAUUGAAAUGCUUGAGCUGGUUGCUUCUGGUCAGCCCCAGCCUUUUGAAUCAACUAAGAAGCACGUAUGGACACGAUACCUCUCACCAGUACCAGAACGACUUGAUACAUUCUGCUGCAGCAGUCCUGAGAGAAAGCGCUGCUGAAGAGGUCAGACAAGCCAAGUAUUUUUCUGUCCGUGUUGAUGAAACUAAAGAUGCAUCAAGAAAAGAACAGCUGUGUCUCCUUUUACGCUGCCAUUGAAAAGGAAUCAUUCAGGAAA